UCAGGAUGAACGCUGGCGGCGUGCUUAACACAUGCAAGUCGAACGGAGUUUUAACGGAAGUUUCGGAUGGAAGUUUAGAAACUUAGUGGCGGACGGGUGAGUAACGCGUGGGUAACCUGCCUCAUACAGGGGGAUAACAGUUAGAAAUGACUGCUAACACCGCAUAAUAUAGCGAAACCGCAUGAUUUUGCUAUCAAAUAUUUAUAGGUAUGAGAUGGGCCCGCGUCUGAUUAGCUAGUUGGUGGGGUAAAAGCCUACCAAGGCGACGAUCAGUAGCCGGCUUGAGAGAGUGACCGGCCACAUUGGGACUGAGACACGGCCCAAACUCCUACGGGAGGCAGCAGUGGGGAAUAUUGGACAAUGGGGGAAACCCUGAUCCAGCGAACCGCCGCGUGAGUGAAGAAGUAUUUCGGUAUGUAAAGCUCUAUCAGCAGGGAAGAUAAUGACAGUACCUGACUAAGAAGCCCCGGCUAACUACGUGCCAGCAGCCGC
rnacentral:rRNA from 1 species